UACGAAGGGUGCAAGCGUUACUCGGAAUCACUGGGCGUAAAGCGUGCGUAGGCGGUUUCUUAAGUCUGUCGUGAAAGCCCUGGGCUCAACCUGGGAACGGCGAUGGAUACUGGGAAGCUAGAAUGUGAGAGAGGAUGGUGGAAUUCCCGGUGUAGCGGUGAAAUGCGUAGAUAUCAAGAGGAACACCUGAGGUGAAGACGGGUUGCUGGGCUGACACUGACGCUGAGGCGCGAAAGCCAGGGGAGCAAACGGG
rnacentral:rRNA from 1 species